UGCCUGUAACAUUGCAGUCAAAAACGUUUUGAAAAGACAAAAUGAAAACUUAGUCCACAUGGCAAUAAAAAAUGUUGAAUACAUAAAUAAAAAAAUAACAUUUUCAAUGUGUAGAAUAUUUAUGUGUCAGUUCAACAGCCACAUAAUCAGGGUGCUAAUUUGAUUUACACUGUAGCAGUGACUCUCAUCUCAGUUUUAGUGGCCUAUGAUAAGACUCAUAUAUCCCUGUGAGGGCCAGGGCACAGCCUGCAUUUGAAUGGAACACUAUUAAUAACCACCCAUGUAGAGAAUCCUCCUAAAGUAUGGAAACAUAGGCCUCUGUUUAGCUUUAGAUAACAUAGCCACAUCACUUACACGCUGCCUGUUCAGGGACACGUAGGCUACUGUAAAGCUCUUUUGUUACCAUUAUGAUAGUAGUGACUAUAACUGCAGCCAGGUUUCUCAGUUGAACGAGGAAGUCCAUCUCUCAAAGACAGACGUCUGUUUGUUAUCCAUGAGGAAAAAAACACAUCUCACUACAAAUGAAAAUAUGAACAGGCCUCUUUAUGACAUUGAAGGCUAGAGAGAACGAGCAGAGGAGAUAAGAUGAGAGAUUGAAUCACUGCCUUUGUUAGUGGAUUUGUGUGGCUCUGAUCUACAUCUUCCAUCAGCGCUCUUUCCAAUGAAAAGACACGGUAUGUUUCAGUUGGCCAGCAGUUUGUUUUAUUCAAUGCUCAGUGUAGGUGCUUAGGGAGCAGCUAGGCUAGGGGAAUGGGAAGCCACCCUUCAGAUACCUACGAAUGGAAUGGACAGGCAGUCGAAUGGGAAUUGGAUGGGAUGGGAGAGGUCUUUAACAAUGUGGAAUAUGUUGUUGCUGUUCCUCUUCAAUGCAGAAUUGGAUGUAAAAAGGGGAUGUAAAUAUUGGAAAUAUCGCAGUCAUCACUGUCUUCCAUACUCUACUUGGAGAUCUUCAUGCAUCGUCACUUCAUAAACUCCAUCAACACCCAUCAAUAUCAGCAUGACCAGCGUGGUGGAAAACAA
rnacentral:lncRNA from 8 species